UACGUAGGGGGCGAGCGUUGUCCGGAAUGACUGGGCGUAAAGGGAGUGUAGGCGGCCUUUUAAGUUAUAUGUGAAAGCCCUCGGCUUAACCGAGGAACUGCAUAUAAAACUGGAGGGCUGGAGUACAGGAGAGGUAAGCGGAAUUUCUAGUGUAGCGGUGGAAUGCGUAGAUAUUAGGAAGAACACCGGAGGCGAAGGCGGCUUACUGGACUGCAACUGACGCUGAGGCUCGAAAGCGUGGGGAGCAA
rnacentral:rRNA from 1 species